UUUUUCACUCUCCUCUUUCACCUUCAUCAAGAGGCUUUUUAGUUCCUCUUCACUUUCUGCCAUAAGAGUGGUGUCAUCUGCAUAUCUGAGGUUAUUGAUAUUUCUCCCAGCAAUCUUGAUUCCAGCUUGUGCUUCUUCCAGCCCAGCGUUUCUCAUGAUGUACUCUGCAUAUAAGUUAAAUAAGCAGGGUGACAAUAUACAGCCAUGACGUACUCCUUUUCCUAUUUAGAAGAGAUGAACUCUUGGGUUAUUGCUGAGUUUGGAAUUUUUCUUUUUUAUUUAGAUUGUUGAUUUGAGAUAAUCAACCCACAGCCCUGGGUCUACUGUCCCUCUUUGCCUAACUGCUGCAGCAACCUACAAAGAAAGCUCCAAAGAAAGACUGAUUGAACUGCAAGCAGAAGAAUCCUCUUUGUACUCCUCGAUGUCAAGAAUGUGUCUACACCCUGGCCUAACGCUCUGAACCUUUUCAUAAACAAGAGCAUCAUCAGCACGCUCAGUGCAUCGGAUCAGACCGCGGAGUUGUUGACAGAAGCUUGGCGAGGCUUGCCAGCUUUCCACACGAAAUGCUGGCUUUCUUCUCACACACCCCCUACCGUUUGUGUCUCUGCCAAUUGUAGCACAUCAGAGCGGCCAUUGAGAUAAUGACCGUGAAGUCUCAUGAUACACUUUGAUGAAGUGUAACAUUUUUUAAAGGAUUUUUGUCUGUGCCAAAAUGAUCGAGGCAGCUGACUAAAAAUCACACC
rnacentral:lncRNA from 1 species